CUUUGGGAUAACCCUCGGAAACGGGGGCUAAUACCGGAUAGGACAUCCUGCUGCAUGGUGGGGUGUGGAAAGAUUUUUUGGUCUGGGAUGGGCUCGCGGCCUAUCAGCUUGUUGGUGGGGUGAUGGCCUACCAAGGCGACGACGGGUAGCCGGCCUGAGAGGGCGACCGGCCACACUGGGACUGAGACACGGCCCAGACUCCUACGGGAGGCAGUAGUGGGGAAUAUUGCACAAUGGGCGGAAGCCUGAUGCAGCGACGCCGCGUGAGGGAUGACGGCCUUCGGGUUGUAAACCUCUUUCGGUAGGGACGAAGCGUGAGUGACGGUACCUACAGAAGAAGCGCCGGCCAACUACGUGCCAGCAGCCGCGGUAAGACGUAGGGCGCGAGCGUUGUCCGGAUUUAUUGGGCGUAAAGAGCUCGUAGGCGGCUUGUUGCGUCGGCUGUGAAAGCCCAUGGCUUAACUGUGGGUUGGCAGCUGAUACGGGCAGGCUGGAGUUCGGUAGGGGAGACUGGAAUUCCUGGUGUAGCGGUGAAAUGCGCAGAUAUCAGGAGGAACACCGGUGGCGAAGGCGGGUCUCUGGGCCGAUACUGACGCUGAGGAGCGAAAGCGUGGGGAGCGAACAGGAUUAGAUACCCUGGUAGUCCACGCUGUAAACGUUGGGCGC
rnacentral:rRNA from 1 species